rnacentral:lncRNA from 1 species
UCAAAUCUUUUCAGGUAAUAUUCUUCUGUACCUUUUUAGCCCAUCUGUUAAACAUUUAAAGCAAUAGUUUUAGAAAACAAUGUAAGAUUUAUCCGUGUAUACAAGAACAUGAAAUGCAUGGUAUAUUGUGAACCUUAUACAUUAGCUUCUGAUUGUUUCUGCAGUGUAUGUAGCUACACCGUCCGAGCCAAAGAGAAUGCAACGGAAUCUGAUGAAUCUGAAAAGUGUUUUCUUUUUUUUUCUUGUUAUUAUUAUUAUCAUUAUUAUUAUUGUUGUUGAUAUUAUUAUUUUUAUUUAUUUAUUUUAUGAAAGGGGGACCCGGCUACACCUUUCCUACCGUACACCUGAUGGAUACUGACUGUAAAAUGGCAAUCACAGGAGGAGGGCUCAGUGUGGUGACAGAAGAUGGAACAGAUGUGUGUCCGUGCACCAGCCUUGAUGAAGCUUCAUAACAGCCUUCUGGAUGUAUUCUGCUUUCAACAUUGCAUAUCCACCACACCUGAGAAAGACACCGACUUUCCUUCAGAGGGACAUUGUCAACAUUAGUAGACGAGACAAGCUCUGUAUGGUUGACUGGAAGUCUGUCAGUCCAGAUGUGAGGAAGACACACAGAGUGGAGCUGGAGCUCAGCAGAUGUGUGAUGCUGUAGAUACUGUGGUCUUGGAAAGAAGGGAUCUUCACAGCUUUCUAUUCAGACAAAGAGUUUGCUGGAUUCUGUUCUAUGGACUGCUACUACAGAAUGAAUGAAUGAAUGAGUGGUUUAUCUAUCUAUCUAUCUAUCUAUCUAUCUAUCUAUCUAUCUAUCUAUCUAUCUAUCUAUCUGUCUUAUCUAUCUAUAUUUUUACUUGAAUUGGUGACUGAAACUGAAAGCUAAAUAAACGGUUUAGUGGAUAAAGCUGUGUCUGUUUGCUUAAUUGGUUAAUGUCGCUUAAAACAAGUUUACUAAACUCUUCUGACUAAUUUUUUUAAUUUAUUAGUUUUUAAUUUUUACUAAUUUUUCUUUAUCAGGCAAAACCUGGUUUUCUAGUGUAACACUUUACAAUAAAGGUUCAUUUGUUGACUAAUGUAUUAACUAACAUUAACUAUGAGCAAUACAUUUGAUACGGUAUUUAUUAAAGUUUGUUAGUUAAUAAACAUACAUCUGUACGUUGUUUGUUCUUGUUAGUUCACUAAUGUUAACAAAUACUGCUGACUUUAAAUGACUUUAAUUUAAGAGCAGCAAGUGCGACUAACCUUGUUUAGAGACGUUUGUAUUCUCAAAAAUAAUUGUAAUCUGUUUUUGAUUAUCGAUAAACUAAGACCUAAAAGUGCGGUGGUGAUUACGUCAGUAAGCCCUUUUGAAGGUACUUUCGAAAGUAAUUUAAAAUAAUAUUAUUUACAUCAUUAACGCAGUUUUUACAUUGGAUGAAUUUCAAUUGGUUUUAUAGGAUUAUGUGUUUAAUCUAUCGCUUUCUAUUAAUCUAUAGGCCAAUAGCGAUUAAGAGUAUGGCUCGCCUUUAGGCGGAACAGCCAGUUUUCGCUAUACAUUUUGCCACGCCUCCUACCUUUCUUUCCACCAAUGAGAAACAUUUCGACACGCCCACCUUUUGCCACGCCCAUUGCUCCAGGCUGCAGUUACCCCUACUUGGAAAGAAGGGGAACAGAUGACAAACAGUAAUGUACACCAUGUUAAAAAUAAUGCUUUUGAACCCUAAACCAUAUAAUAAAAUUUUAUUACACCAAACAAUGUUAUUUAAGCAAGGUCAUGAUGCCUUUGACUGGUUCUUUGAGAAUUGCAAAUUAUUGUCAUGUAAUAUUUAAAACUAUAUUUUAAAUUGUACUUAACCGUUUCAGUUUUAUUUUCCGGGUUUAACUUCUUAAGUCAAAUGUGUGCUUGAUGCAUGAAGGCCAGUAAUGUUCUGGACUGUGAGGGUUAUACAUGCUAUAAUCAUAAAAAGUAGAGCACAAUAAGCUCAGACAGCCCCAGACUUUUUCAAAAUAGACCCAACUCAAAUAACAGUCAGCGCUCUCAUAUUAUUACAAAUAUAUUUUAACUUCAAUUACUUAAAAUCACAAACCCCAUAUAGACCCUGCAGAUUAAAACAUUUAGUAUUUUG